rnacentral:lncRNA from 1 species
GGGAAUGUUGUUCAUCCACGUCAUGUAUGGAUUUCUUUCACUCAUGAAUUUGCUUCUCAUUAUUUCUAAGUAAUCCUAUGAUCAUUCUUUUGGAUGUCUUUUUUGGCAUUUUAUCAUUCUCUUUGUCUUCAUAUUCUAAUAUUAUAGUUUGUUGUAUUCUUUUUUGGGAGUCAUGUUGUCUUCCUUGUACUUGUUUCUUAUAUUUCUACAUUUAUUUUUAGGCAUUUAUGGAAAUACUUGUUGGUUUUAUCCACUGAUGUGUUUUAUCUUUGAACUAUACCUCUGCGGCUUAGUGGAGUGUCUGCUCUUUCAGUGGAUACCCAGAGGCAUGUGCUGGGUAGAGCCAGGGAGCUAGUGUAGGUGGUCAAGAGUUGGGUGAGAAUCCAGGAUGACACCUGUUGGGCAUGGUAUAUCUCCUCUAUUGUCAUGCCUGUUGGCAUAAUCAGAAUCUUAUCUCCUCUCUUCCAAGGUUAUCAAUGUCCAGAGUUAUCCUACAGUGAGUACAACCUUCACCCAUACUGGUGCAUGAACCACGCAAAGGAUCUCUGCUUUCCCCUGUGUGCCCUUGUGGCUGUAUGGGGAGAAAGAAACGUGUCUUUCCUUCAAUGGAAUAGGA